rnacentral:misc_RNA from 1 species
CUUUGUUUUGUAGAAAGCUUUUCAAGUCCACGAGCAAGCUGGAAACCCUGUGCAUCUUUUUCUUUGAGCCGAUCAAGUUUCCUCAGGUUAUCAGAAACAUCUCUUGUUCCUUUCAGAGCAACAAAGUUGUUAAUGGCCACAGCAAAAGAUGAUUCGUCUGCCGGAUUUCGGUUAAUAAUAUCUGUGUAAGCUUCCAUUGCCUCUUGAGCUCGUCCUAAGAGCUGCUGAACAUAUGCCAAUUGGACAGCUAUAGGAGCCAAUUCAAUUUCUAUAUCAUCCUCAGCCAAGUUUUCAUCCAUCAAUGUUUCCUGACCAAUUCUUC